rnacentral:rRNA from 1 species
CACGUAGGGUGCAAGCGUCGUCCGGAAUUAUUGGGCGUAAAGAGCUCGUAGGCGGUUUGUUGCGUCGGCUGUGAAAUCCCGAGGCUCAACCUCGGGUCUGCAGUCGAUACGAGCAAACUAGAGUGUUGCAGGGGAGACUGGAAUUCCUGGUGUAGCGGUGAAAUGCGCAGAUAUCAGGAGGAACACCGGUGGCGAAGGCGGGUCUCUGGGCAACAACUGACGCUGAGGAGCGAAAGCGUGGGGAGCGAACAGG